UGUGUAUCAAGUGUAUCGUGCACUUUACACUCAGGUUAGAACUUAGAGACUAAAACACGACGACAUUAAUACAAAAACUGACACUAUGUCCAACGACUGUCCUCAUUUCUCAUCACCCUUCAUUCCUCAUUUAAAUCCUUCACAACCUUUUAAUGACACUUUCCCUCUUUUAGUGAAUCAAUCUGUGUUUUUAAAUCUCAGCGGUUUAUAAUCUUUAUUCUCUCUUCUUCUUCUGCAACGUGAGUCGUAAACUGGGGAGACUGGGGCUGCUUAUCUGAGCUGCUGGGAGCCAGUGGGGGGCCACGUGGCACCAGUUGCUGUUUGGGCCUCGGCUGCUGUGGGGGUUGCGUGAGGGGGGUGGAGGUGGGUGGAGGUGAGGUGAGGUGGAGGCGGGUGGAGGUGGGUGGAGCCUCCAGCCGUGGAGGAGCGUUUAGUCGCGUGUCUCCUGGGACUCUCUCUGCACCAAUGUCCCUCCUGUCCACAUAUAUAAGGUCCACCUGUCCUCCCUCGGUUGUCCCUCGUCCUCUGCUGCUGGGUGCUGAUGUCCCACUCAACGGUUCCUACCUGCUGGAUCUGGGGCCUUUGGGGGACGGGGUAUCGGGCCUUGUCUGUCUCCUGUCUCUGUCCUUUGUUUACUGCUGCAGACAUCUUGAUGUUCUUGAAGUGUCUUCAGCUGCUUCCUCAUCGUGCUCUCACGUCCGUCCACUGCUUCUCUUCCUUUGGCCUCCGUCUGCUCCUCCAUCUUCUCUCUGGUGCUACUCAGCAGGUCCUGAGUCGUAAACACGACCAUGAUGCAACCUGGUGCAUCUAAACCCCCCUGAGAUGUCCUCCUGUCCUUUAGGAGCUACUCUGUCACUGACUGUGAGGAGACGACUAAUGAUGUAAAGUCAAACUAAUGAAACCUGCAAAACACCAAACAACAAAGUGAACUCAGCAAUGGAAAGUAAAGCAGUGGACCUGAAAGGGAACCAGUCCAUCAAACCACUGAGUCACAUAACAACUACAACGCGGAUCAGAACGCCGUCAGUACAAAUCAAACUAAACCGCAGAUCAUCUCAAACUAGUUACGGCUUUCAGCAAAUUAAAAAUCAAUCCAACUCAAUGUUAGAAUCACAAAGCUGAGAUAAAACUUUUAGGGUGUAAACGCUGCCGCAGGAGAGAGAAGAGGAAACUAAAAUAAACGUCUAAUGAAAAUCCAUAAAAGCAAAAUGAAGUUCAAGUUAAGAAAGUAAAAGUCUAAAGUCACAACGAUAAUCAAUAAUCAAUCUUAUGUUUAAACGUUGAAUACCAUUCAAACUUUAACUAGUAGUGACGAUGGACCUUAACUCAAAGCCUAAAGCAAUAAUAACCCACUUAUCUGACAUUUAAAUACAAUCUAGUUCCACCACUGGAGAUCAAAUCUAUUCAACCUUUUCAGAAGGUCACAUUAAAAUCAGAGCGGCUCUUUAAAUUGGAAUCGAGAUCAAAUCCAAAUGAAGACAAAGCUGAUAUCAAACUGUAUCAAUGCUGAAAUGAUCACAAGUGAUAUUAAAGUUGUAUUUCUUACCUUUACUUGAAUGUCCAUCAGUGUUGGAGGGUGAACAUCAAUGAACAGUCCUUGUGUCCCUUUGACUCUAAUGAAGACAUUGUCUCUACAUCAUGUGAUUACUCCUGUAAACCAUAUGAGGCGUGUUGACACAACAGCUGAUGACGUGACAAUCGUUAGUAACUCUGCACCUCGACACGCUGAGAACACAAAGUACUAUAUUAUAAUAGUACUAUUAUGAUCAGCAGCCUGUGACCUGACUGACCCUGUUCACUGAAUACUACAGUACAUUCAAUGAUCACACCUUUGGCUUGAAUCCACACGCCGACCCGUUUGCAGAUGCUUGAGUGUAUUUACAUGAGGACGUUCUGUAAUAUCACAGUAAAAGUGCAGAACGGGACGGAAGUGAAUGAGUGAAAAACCAAACAGUGAAUCCAAUAAACUAACGAGUGCGUUUCUUCUCUU